rnacentral:rRNA from 1 species
UGGGGAAUAUUGGACAAUGGAGGGAACUCUGAUCCAGCAAUUCUGUGUGUGUGAAGAAGGUUUUAGGACUGUAAAACACUUUUAGUAGGGAAGAAAAAAAUGACGGUACCUACAGAAUAAGCAACGGCUAAAUACGUGCCAGCAGCCGCGGUAAUACGUAUGUUGCGAGCGUUAUCCGGAAUUAUUGGGCUUAAAGGGCAUCUAGGCGGUAAGACAAGUUGAAGGUGAAAACCUGUGGCUCAACCAUAGGCUUGCCUACAAAACUGUUGAACUAGAGUACUGGAAAGGUGGGUGGAACUACACGAGUAGAGGUGAAAUUCGUAGAUAUGUGUAGGAAUGCCGAUGAUGAAGAUAACUCACUGGACAGAAACUGACGCUGAAGUGCGAAAGCUAGGGGAGCAAACAGG